GACGAACGCUGGCGGCGUGCUUAACACAUGCAAGUCGAACGGAAAGGCCCUGCUUGCAGGGUACUCGAGUGGCGAACGGGUGAGUAACACGUGGGUGAUCUGCCCUGCACUUCGGGAUAAGCCUGGGAAACUGGUUCUAAUACCGGAUAGGAGCCAUUUUUAGUGUGAUGGUUGGAAAGUUUUUUCGGUGUAGGAUGAGCUCGCGGCCUAUCAGCUUGUUGGUGGGGUAAUGGCCUACCAAGGGGGCAACGGGUAGGCGGCCCGAGAGGGUGGACGGCCACAUUGGGACUGAGAGACGGCCCAGACUCCUACGGGAGGCAGCAGUGGGGAAAAUUGCACAAUGGGCGCAAGCCUGAUGCAGCGACGCCGCGUGGGGGAUGACGGCCUUCGGGUUGUAAACUCCUUUCGCUAGGGACGAAGCUUUUUGUGACGGUACCUAGAUAAGAAGCACCGGCUAACUACGUG
rnacentral:rRNA from 1 species